rnacentral:rRNA from 1 species
UACGGGGGGGGCAAGCGUUGUUCGGAAUUACUGGGCGUAAAGGGCGCGUAGGCGGCCUGGCAAGUGGAAGGUGAAAUCCCUCGGCUUAACCGAGGAACUGCCCUCCAAACUGCUUGGCUUGAGUCCGGGAGAGGUGAGUGGAAUUCCCAGUGUAGCGGUGAAAUGCGUAGAUAUUGGGAAGAACACCGGUGGCGAAGGCGGCUCACUGGCUCGUAUCUGACGCUCAGGCGCGACAGCGUGGGGAUCGAAACAGG